CAAAGAAUAGUUUAAUUAAAAAUAAUAAUUUUGGAGAUUAUAGAUAGAUUCUAUAUUUUUCUUUGA
rnacentral:tRNA from 1 species